rnacentral:rRNA from 1 species
CCUACGGGAGGCAGCAGUGAGGAAUAUUGGUCAAUGGACGAGAGUCUGAACCAGCCAAGUAGCGUGAAGGAUGACUGCCCUAUGGGUUGUAAACUUCUUUUAUAUGGGAAUAAAACGUUCCACGUGUGGGAUUUUGUAUGUACCAUAUGAAUAAGGAUCGGCUAACUCCGUGCCAGCAGCCGCGGUAAUACGGAGGAUCCGAGCGUUAUCCGGAUUUAUUGGGUUUAAAGGGAGCGUAGGUAGAUUGUUAAGUCAGUUGUGAAAGUUUGCGGCUCAACCGUAAAAUUGCAGUUGAAACUGGCAGUCUUGAGUACAGUAGAGGUGGGCGGAAUUCGUGGUGUAGCGGUGAAAUGCUUAGAUAUCACGAAGAACUCCGAUUGCGAAGGCAGUUCACUGGACUGCAACUGACACUGAGGCUCGAAAGUGUGGGUAUCAAACAGGAUUAGAUACCCCUGUAGUC